GUGUGGGUAGAUUACGCUGGUUAAAUCGCUAGGCUGUUAACCUUGAGAAGGCUCUUUGCGGCCCCCAAACG
rnacentral:tRNA from 1 species